AUUGAACGCUGGCGGCAGGCCUAACACAUGCAAGUCGAGCGGAUGAAGGGAGCUUGCUCCUGGAUUCAGCGGCGGACGGGUGAGUAAUGCCUAGGAAUCUGCCUGGUAGUGGGGGAUAACGUCCGGAAACGGGCGCUAAUACCGCAUACGUCCUGAGGCAGAAAGUUGGGGAUCUUCGGACCUCACGCUAUCAGGUGAGCCUAGGUCGGAUUAGCUAGUUGGUGGGGUAAAGGCCUACCAAGGCGACGAUCCGUAACUGGUCUGAGAGGAUGAUCAGUCACACUGGAACUGAGACACGGUCCAGACUCCUACGGGAGGCAGCAGUGGGGAAUAUUGGACAAUGGGCGAAAGCCUGAUCCAGCCGUGCCGCGUGUGUGAAGAAGGUCUUCGGAUUGUAAAGCACUUUAAGUUGGGAGGAAGGGCAGUAAGUUAAUACCUUGCUGUUUUGACGUUACCAACAGAAUAAGCACCGGCUAACUUCGUG
rnacentral:rRNA from 1 species